GGUGCUGGAACAGUGGCAAUCAUGCAACAGUUAGCUCUGCUUGAAAUAAGUCUAAAUGAAAUGGUAGCUGUAGUGCCUGUGCCCGGUGGGAGUACUUAUAUGGGUGGACAUGAAGGAGAAAGUUUCUAAGGAUCUGAAGGUUGCCAAUGGGUUUCAAUGGCCGAUAGUGGGAGUAGCCUUUCCUGGUAGCUGCUGAGAAAAGCUGAUUGGGGAAGAGUGACCACAUGUAUUUUGGCGAGGCUGGCUGUGCGUCCCUUGUUCCACUACUUUUCCAUUAUGAAUCAUUGCUAUGACAUCAGCGUUCUGGACGGUCGUCAAGCGGUGAGCAAUAAUAAUGCAGGUUCGACCCUUCCUGGCAUCGUCCAAGGCUUUCUGGACAAUCUGCAGACAGAUGCAGUGAAAAACUUACUAUUACUUGGAGAAUCUUCCCUUUUAUAGGAAGGAAGCUCUGAGUAUGAGGUAGCAAGGAAGAAGACUUGAAGACAAGAGUGAGUGAAGGAGAUGUUAGGAGAGACUGUAGGAGCCUCCUCUGCUGCCUGGGGGAUGAGACAGCUUCAGGACCACAUUACCAGCACUACGACGUUUUCUUAGAAGAAGUCUUUCUGCUUGUAUGCCUUCCGGAUCUCUUAGGAAUGCUUCCCAUCUCAGUGAUUCCUGGUUUUUCAAAACCACCAAGAUCAGUCAGAUUCUCCAUCCUGAGAUCAUCUAAAUCCUCUUCCUCAUAGUCUUCAUCUUCUGUCUCUUCAUCGCUUUCUGACAUCUCAUUUUGAGUGUUUUCACCAUGACCCUAGUGACAAGCAAGGAACAGUGAUACACAGUCACAAGACAGUUUGUAGCAAGGGAAAGGAACAUGUACUUGGUAUGGAAACAAACAAAACCACCAUCACUUUGGUUACAUUGUCACUUUCAUAUGGUAGUUUGUAUAGGCCAAGUAUUCUGCCAGUAUAAGUUGGUGCAGUUGCAACUUACACCAGCAGAGAAUUUGGCUCUGUAUGUCCCCCCGCACUAUCUAUAUAGUUCUGUGAUGAUGUCAUCCACCUCUUUUGCUCAGUUAUAUUUGACUCAUUACACUGUGUAAAUGUGAAGCUACCGGUGAAAAACAACCACUUCCAACUCAGAAACAAGAUUGACUGAUCAACUUUCACUAAACUAGAAAAUAUGCAGAAACUGCAAAGUGAAAA